rnacentral:precursor_RNA from 8 species
CCACAAUCAGUCGUGCUGUGGGCAGUGCUCUAUUCAGAAAGGUGCCAGUCACUUAGAUUACAUGUCACUGUUUCCUUUCUGAGUGGAGUAAGGCUUACCAAGUACAAGUGUGUGGUG